rnacentral:tRNA from 1 species
CAUUAAAUGACUGAAAAAGUAUUGGUUUUUUAAAUCAAAUUAUAAUAGUAUAAUUACCUAUUUUUAAUGA